ensembl:lincRNA
CUCGAGAAAGGGACCGGUGCGCGCCUCCACCUCCCCAAGGGACAAACCGCGGCACCACGCUGCGUGCGCGGGAUUGCGACUAGGAAGUGCUGGUCCGAACUGCGGAGAUUCGCUUGAAAACGGAUAGGGGGUUAGGGAGUUUGCGGGGCGGGUGCACGGACCGUCUCUGCACAGGCCCCGGGAUCCAGGGACUGGGGUCAUUGAUUUGGGGGAAGGUAGAGAAGGUAAACCCCCCGCCUCUGGGUUGUGUUGACUGUGGUACCCGGACCCCAGAGCUCUGGCUUGGUCCUCCCUGUUGGACUGGAAGGGGCGGGAGAGCCAUACAGGGCGAUUGGGAAAUGGAUCGGGUGGCUAGUAAAAGCCAAGUAAGACAGGAGUGUCCAAAGGAAGAAGGGGGUGGGGAGGGAAAUUUGUAGGGAUGAGAUUCACUGCCCUGUUUCAACUCGGCAAUUCUCUGUUACAUGCAGGUUUUACGGAGACUUUCGGUCCCAGCAAAAACUGAUCACCUGGAGUCUUCUACGGUCUCUCUUUAUAAAUCUCUCCGAACCUCAAGCAACUCCCCCCCACCCCCUUCGUCUGGGGUCUGCGCCCAGCGGGGCCAAAGCCUUGAGUUCCUUGGCAGAGAGUGUGGAACAGCCGUGAGCCCUUCAAGACAUGCCUAUGAGCCCGUGAAGGAGAUUCAGCGGGAACAGCUGCAGAAAUACUGAGUCGUGGAGGAACGUUUUAGAGACACUUGAUGUCGGUUGUAUCCAGGCCAGUCGGGGCACUGCAGUAAGUUUACCCAAAAUAGACUGGAGGAGACAGAUUCACCGCUACCCUAACACUUGGC